UGCAAACCGCCGACAACCGCUACCAACCGCAAAAGAUGCGUUUGUGGGUGGUAGCGGGAAAACCAGUCACCCCCUUAGACGGGGGCCUAUCAUCGCAGCUCAAAUUUUGUGAUUUCGGAUACUCGAAGGUGUUAUUACACAUUUAAUUCAUAUACUAGAUUUUGAUCCGCGUUUUGAAAGAGCGGGUUUCUUUGGGUUAUAAAUAUGAAUUACUUUAGAAAUUUUCAUACAAAAAUGGAGAAUUUUUAUGUUUACCACUUUUUUGGUACCACUAUUCAUGUUUACCACCACUAAAGAGACAUUUUCAAAAAUACAUUAUUUAUUAAGUGGCAAAAGACUUUUAUACUCUUGUUUUAUAUAUAUGUAUAAUAAAUAAAUAAAAAAGAAAAUAAAAAUAAUUUUUAUUCUUUUCAAUUAUACUCUUUCAAAUUUGAAGUUCUUAUAAAAAAAAUAUGAAUUUUUUUUCGAAAUUUUUUUUCGCUAUUUUGUUUUUUUUUUCUUUUUGAGAAUCAAAAAUUAUUUUUGAAACUUUUUGUAAAAUUUUUUAAGUAUUUAUUAGAAUCCUAAAUUUCACAUUUCAAAAACUCUAAACCUCAUCCCUCGACUCUAAACCCUAAGUAUAGAUUAGUUAACCUUAGGAUUAUAAAUGUUUUUUAGCAUUCAUUAAAUAUGAGGGUAAAAUGAGACAUUAACUCCAUAUAUCCCUCUCUCUUAAAAAAUUCUCUUUUCUCCUUUUAUUAAAAUAUCAUUUAAUAUUUAUUUUUUUAAAUAGAAAACGUGGAUCCAGAGUGUGUAAAGACUUCAAUACCCUUGACCAAUUAGAAUAUUCACAAACCCAACCUCUAAUUUACCCACCCACCCAAAACAAAUCGGAUCUAAACCCAAUUAUCUCCCCCCCUACCCCCAAAUCCUGUCUCCGUUCUCUCUCUCUUAAGGGCCUGACUGGUUCAAACGCAACGGUUGCGGUUGCGGUUGCGGGAGUUUGUUUUAAAAAAAAUUGAAAAAAAUUUUACCCUCCCGCAACCGCCUGCAACCGCAAACACAAGCAGGAGCCAGCUUUUGAAUUUAUGAGAUUCAGAGCAGUUUGAAGCGGUUUAGAGCGAUUUGAGUGAUUGUUGCAAACCGCCGACAACCGCUACCAACCGCAAAAACUGCAUUUACGGGUGUGGAUGGUAGCGGGAAAACCAGUCGCCCCUUAAGUCGUAACGUAGAGAAAUUUUUUUUUACAGAGUGAACAGAAAAAGGAGAAACUUUUCACCGAAUUCUUCGAUGAAGAAAGAUGGAGGAGAAGUCAUGGUUUGGAUCCCGCCCAUCGAGCUCUUGGAUUUAAUAUGUCCGUCACAAAAUUCUGGGAAAGUCGACGGAAUCAUCAGAGAGAUCAAAAUCUGCAGCUUAAAAUCUUGGGACUUGUGCUGUGAGUUUCAAUUUUUGUCCAAAAUUCUGAAAUUUUUUCUCAUUUGUUUUUGAUUUAAAAUUUAUAUAUCUCCAGUCAAAUAUAAGAUCAAAUCGAGAAAUCUUGUUUAUACUUCUUGUCUCGUAGAGAAAACAACGACAGAACAUGAAGACGCCUUGUGGGUUCUGGAAACUCACCUGGUAGUGGGAACACUUGUCUGGAUAUAGAGGUAUUAUUGGUCAUAAAGAGUUAUGGUAUUCCUCGGGGGGAAAAGCAGCAGCUCUUCUGAGAAAACCAAAUCAGAAUGGGUGUGCACGAGUUUCACUACACCCUCUUACCUGAAGUCUGAAGACAAGGUAUUCAUAUAACACUCUUUAAUCUCUUUGGUUUAUGAUCUGAUUCAUAUGACUUUCUGGGGAUGCUUGUUUUGUGUCAAUAGUUGUUGUGCUAAUUACUCAUCAAUGCUAUAAAUUAUAUAUUAGUUGUUAAGGGAUGUUUGUACCGACAAAACAUAAGUUGAGGUUUGAAAUCUCUGUCUGGCUUACCUUUUAACACUUGUGAAUCUUAUGUGCUUUGUCACUAGUUUUUGUACAGAGAACCUAUGCGUGCUUGCAGUCGGAAAGUUUUAUUAGUUAUGGCUUUGUUAUUUUAUUGUCAGGAGAUGUAUGGCAUUUGCAUAGUUGAAUCAAUGGUUAGAUGUUAUGAGAAUCUCGUGGCUUGUUUUUGAAUAUAGCUAGGAUAUAAUCGAUCAAAGAUCUUGAAACAUGUGAUCUUGUGUGGGUUUUAAAAUGUGAACGCUAAGGCGUGAGGCGACCUCAGUUGGAGGGGUCAUGGCCUUACAGAGGUGAGGCGAGGUGUUUUCAGGAAGGCGACGCUCCACCACGCCUCACGCCUCACGCCUCACACGCAUUGGACGCCUCUGCAAAAAAAAAGGGGGUAAGUUUCCAUAAACCAAGACACUAGAAUUUGAAGUUUUAGGUAACUAUUAACAUAACUUGAUUUUUACUUACCUUUUUAUGUUUAAAAAACUUAAUGAAUUUUUAAUAGCUCUUUCUUCCAUAAUAUAUUUACCUGAUGUUGAUUGUGUUAUAAGCUUCAAAGUUUCUGACUCUUUACUAACCAUCUUACCAGGCGGACAAGCUUUUGUCUGCAGAGUUCAGUGCCGUCCCAAAUUUUAGGGUGGCCUAAGGCACAAUUAAAUUAAGUGGCCUUUUAUACAAGUACUAAUGAUAAAUGGUAGCACAAAUAAGACAAAUUAAAAAAUAUAAAAUCACUGAAUAUAGUUAAAAUAAAAAAUAUUUUGGACAAAGGAGGGAUCGAACAAGAGUGUUUGCUAACUCAAAGUUUUCUUAAAAAAUAACAAUCAGGCUAACUAACUUGUUAUGUUGUGGCCCUAAAAUGUUCAAUAUAUUUUGUGGCCUAAAGCAAGUGCUUCACUUGCUUUAUAUCAGGGACGGGUCUGGCAGAGUUCCAGCCUUCUCUAGAGGAGUUGAUACCGUUUCUGCCACAAAAUCGUCAGUUUUUGAUGUAUUCCGCUGCAUCUCCUGUCACUGUGAAGGCUUUGACGGAUCGACGCUACUUGUUAUCAACCUCAUGGAUGUUAUUUAAGUAUUUUGUAUGUUUAAAACUUGAGAAUCCUUUUUGAAUGUUUAAAACUUGGUGUGUUGCAAAAGAAAAAUAUUUAACACAUGUAAAACUCUAAAAUAUAUAAUAUUAAAAAGGGGAAAAUGUUUUUACAAAAAAAAUUCACAUGUAAAACGUGCAGCCGUAAUAUAUAGAUUUAAUAUCUCGAUUUAGUGAUAUUCUACAAAAAAAAAUUCAUUAAAACGGAUAUAAAAUCAAUACGAAAGAUAAAUAUUUAUCAUCUUUUUUAGAUUUUAAAACCGUUUAUGUUUCAUAAAAUUUGUUUUGUUUUAUUCAUGUUAAAAUAAUAAUAUAAAAAAAUACUCAUGUAAAACGUGCAGCCGUUAUAUACAUAAAUUUAAUAUUCUAAUUAUACUUAGUAAUUCUUGGUAAUCUUCAAGGUAAUAGUAAUACCACCUUACACAUAGUAAUACUUUGGCAAAUUUUAAGUUUUAUUAGUAAAACCAUGUCCAAAUGAAAUAUUUUAUAGUAAAACCAAUGAUUUUAUAUAGUGUAUGUCAUUAAGGAAAAGUAUUACAGAAACAGUUUACCAGAAAUAAGUAUUUUUAUAGAUUCUCCUUACUAUAGCCUAACGAUUCACAUAACAACCAUGAAAGUUAAGGCAUCAUUUUGGAAAAAUGGUAAAUAUUCCUAAAACUAUAGAAAAUAAUCAUCUAAAUAGUUUUAACUAUAUACAUUGUCUACUAAUAGAUAAUAUAUGGGUUCUAUAUGUUAAAUAUACGUACUACUUGCAAUAUAUAUGGGUUUAAAAUUACACAUAAUAAAACCAAGUAAUCCUAGUAGUCCGAAUUAAUAUAAUAAACCCAGUAAUCUUAGUAUUUCGAAUUACACACAGUAAAUUUAGUAAUCCUAGUAGUCGGAUUACACACAAUAAACCAAGUAAUCCUAGUUGUCAGGUUAUACACAAUGAAAACAUGAUAAAUAAAAGCUUGUCUUAUUCCUCUACAUGCCAUUGCGUAUGAUACAUCCACACCAGUCCUGCGUAUAACCAAAUCGAUGUUACUGUCCUUUCUGAAAGUUUUCUAGGUAAAAGUUAUCUAAAUUUUCAGAACAACGAUCUCAGGGAACAAUUAUAUAUUUGCAUCAUAACUUUUAGGGUAAUUCAGUUUUCAGUUAUUUUGGUUAGUUAUUUCAGUCCGCUCAAAAAAUUUGUCAGACAGAAUUUAGGAGACUUUGUUAAGACCUAUCAGCAGAUUCUCCACGCUAGUGUGGUUGGUCAUGAGCUUGAUGUGGAGAAGCAAAGAUUUGGGGUAUGUUCUGAUGAAGUAUCCAGAGUUGUUAGGGUUUAAGCUCGAAGGGAUAAUGAGUACAUUAGUUGUUUAUUUGGCGUCAAGGAAUAGAUGCUACCUUUGGUUACCGAUAAAGGACAAGAUGUCUACACAACACUACUUUUUCAGCGUGAAGCUCAAGAUUGAUCCUGAAGGAUUUGCUCGUGUUGUUGAGAAGAUGCCAAGAGUUGUAAGCCUUAAGCAGUUAAGCAUAACUGUGAUAAUGAAACCUUUUAGAGUUUCUGUUAGGAAUUUAUGGAACUGGUUCCUCAACUGCAGUGACCAAAGGUUUGAGGAACGGUUGGAAUGUAACUUUACUGAUGCAGAUAUGCCUAAUAAAUAGUAAUGGUAGUGAUGAGGUUGCAUCUUGCGUUAUUUACAUUAUCUAUGAUAUACAUCUUAUUUUAAUGAUAUUUCAGAAAAAAUAUCAUCAAAAUCAGACAUAAUAAACCCACAAAAAAAACAGUUUUAAAAAUUAUUUUCAAAUUUUCAAAAAACUCAUCAAAUCCUACAUUCUUUACUUUACCCAUGAUGUCUAUUUUAUUUAAUGAUAUUCCAGAUUUUUUUUUUUCAAAAAACAGCCAUAAUAAACCCACCAAUUGAUAAACACAGUUUGUAAAAAAAAAAUUCAAUCUCUCAAAAUACUCAUCAAAAUUUACAUUUUUUACUUUACCCAUGAUGUAUAGGUUGUUUUAAUGAUAUUUCAUUAAAAAAAAACAGCAAUAAUAAACCCCUCCAACCCAUAAAUACAGUUUUUAAAAUUAUUCACAAUCUCUCAAAAUAGUCAUCAAAUCUUACAUUCUUCUUAUUACUCAUGAUGUAAAAUUCAUUGUGGAACUCAUAUGUGAAUUGAUUUGUAAAUAGUUUAUUUAAUUCAUAAAUUGGUGAGGUGGAAAAAAUAUAUUAAACAAUUAGAGGGUAAUUUAGGAAUGACAAGGAGAAAAGGGUAGUGAGAAAAGAGAAGAGACAAGGAGAAUGAUUUUUUUCUAAAAGGGCAUAUUGAGUUAAAGUCCGGUAAAAUAGUUAGUGUAAACAUGAAAAGUGAUACGAUGAAUGUGGUAUUUUUGACAAUUUUCAUACAAAAAUUAUAAUCAUGAAUUAGUUUAUUUAAGAUUUUGUAUGUACACUCUUAUGUAAUUCUCUCUUAGGCAUAUGCAUUUUACUCGGACUCACAAACACUGAACUGAACCGACACAAAAAUACAGGUUCAUGUCUCGGAUUGAGCAAAUUACCUAAUACAUUUUUGGACCAUGUCUCUCUCCGAGUCGGGUACCCAAAGUACCCAAGAUAUUUUGUUUAUAAUAUGUAUAUUAGAGUAUUUCAGAUAUAUUCCAGUAUUAUAUAAUCUUUUUUACUUUCAGAUUCAGGUUUUUCAUUAUUGUUUCAGAUUUCAGUAAAAUUUAAAAUCUUUAAAAUUAUAUUUCUUGUAUUCGAAUAAAACUGUGGAUAUUAUUGGUUUCUGAAGUAAAAUUUAGGGUAAAAUUUGGAUGUUUUGGAUAUUUAAAUAUUUAUAGGUAUUGUUUGGAUUUUCAGAUUUUUUUUUGUGUUUUAGCUUUUUCAUGUUUGCAGAUAUUUUGAGUUUUUUUUCUAAAUACCUGAAUUGACCGGGACCCAAUACAUACCUAAAUUAUAUGUAUUUUACAGGAAUUUGAAUUAUGGAACUGAAUCGACUCAAAUCUAAAAUAAAACGAUUUGAACCCAAACUUAUUUUUUUCUUUUCAAAACAGCUAGUUGGGUCCAAAUGUCAGGACCUAGAAAAAUCAGAUCUAAAAGGAAUCAAUCAGUACCCGACCUAAAGACUUCAAUGCCCAAACCUACUCUCGCAUUAUAUUUAUGUGUACUUUAUAAGAGUUACAUUUAUUGAAUUGAUAGAUUUUGGCUAAUUUAAUAGUAUAUAUAGUAUAGAUUUGUAGAUUUUUUUUCAUUUUUUAACAAAAAAAGUUAUAGGGUUUUUAAUCAUUUCUUUGAUAAAUAAUUUUAUAAAAAAUUAGUUUAACAUAAUAUAUAUAAUUUUGUUUUAGAGAUGGUUUACUAAAGUGUUUUUUAUCAAAUUUGAUUUUAUAAAUAUUUAGAUUUAUAAUUAAUGCGUAAAUAUUGUUGGUCCAAUUUGAGCAUAAAUAUGGUAUAUAACACUAUUGCAUAACAACCAUAAUGUUAGAUGAAAAAAUAAUUUAGACAAAAAGUGUAUCAAAUGAAAUAAUGAGUAAUAGGAUUCUUUAAAAAUAUUUAAAAUUUUGUAUCAUUAGAAUAUUCAAUAGUAGGAUAAAAUGAUAAAUAACACAUACAACCUUUUUUAGUAAAUAUUCAAUAAUAUAGAUUUCUAUCAGUGCUUCAAAAGCUUGAGAUUUUGUGAAUAAGUUAUUAUUUCUUUAAAAAAAUUACAUAAAUUUAUUAUUUUAAAAACUAAAAAGUUAAAUUAUUUGAUAUUUUUGACUAUGAUGGGCUGAGUAAAUAUAAAACACAAACUUAGAUUUGAAGUAUUAGCAGUAAGAGAACUAAAGAAUAUAGGCAUAUAUUAAUUCAUUGGAUUAAUUAAUGUAUAAUGGAUAAGUUAAGAAUUAUGUGUUGCUUAAUAACAUUAUACUAGGUUAAGAUCCGCGCCUUGCGCGGAAUGAACAUUAUAUAUAAAAAUUAUUUUAUGUAUUAAAUAUUUUUACAUAUUAUGAAAUAAUAAAUAUAUAUUGAAUAAUUAAAAGUCAGUAACUAUUAAAUAUAUAAUUAAAUUGGUGUGAACAUAUAAAUCAAUUUUAUUAAUCCAAUUUUUUUUUAAUAUUUGAUAGGAUAUGUAAUUAAAUUUAAAUGAUACUAACAUACAUAAUAUAUUUUAGUAUAUUUUUAAUAUUAAUGUCUAUUAAAUGAUGAUUUCUACUCGUAUAGUUUUUUUGAUCAUUUGUAUCUUUUAUAGAAAAAAAUUUAAAUUACUGAUAACAAAUUUUUUAUUGUGGGAUUAAUAGUUUUAAUAAUUUAUAAUUAAAAAAAAUAAGUUGUCAAUGUUCGUUCAAAACUUUUACCAAAAAAUUGUUCAAAGUAAAUUUUGAAACUAAAAGAUUUAUGUAUUUUAUAUGGUUUAUAGUUUAAUUUAAAACGAUAUAUAUAUAUAUAUAUAUCAAUCUUAAUAAUUAAUUAAAUUAUAUUUUUCACUUAUAUAAUUUUGUAAUCAUUUGAAUGUAAGACUUUAAACAGUUUUAGUAAUUUAUAGUCGUUUUUCAAAAUUCAAAAUAUAACAUAUACAAAAAAAUCUAAUUUUUUUUAUUAUAUGGUUAUUGUGGUUGUUUAAUUUAUUUAAUAGUUUAAAAUUAAACAAAUAUGAUAGAAGAUACACUAAUUUUUAUCAAAUCUUUAUUAUUGAAAAUCAUUAAUUGUCAUAUAUACUUUAGCCACAUUAGGCAAUUUCGUAAAUUUUAUUUAAGGAAAUAAUGAAGUACAUUAAUAAUGAAUUUAUUGUUAGUUUAAUAAAAAAACUUAUUAUAUAAUUAGAUGGACCAACAUAUUUUUCUAAUGAUUCUAAGAAUCAUCCUAGUGAUGACAUGUGGCUACAAAAAGAAGUUGUAAUGCUUCUCAAAUAAUAUAUAGGGGAUAUUGUCGGUAAUAAAUGUAGAGUGGAUCUCAUAUUAAUGUGUUGGUAGAACUAAAAAGCUGAGCGACUCGUUUAUUACGAAUACUAAGCUUGAGUGCAACUGCAUUUGGUAAAAAAAGAAGGAAGAUUGAAUAUUCACAUCAAAAGCCAUCGUACACGAAUAUGGUAUUGGUUUAUUAGAAUAAUAUGUAAGAUCACUAACUAAAUUACUAUUAUGCCAUUAAUGAGGGUGCAACAACUUUACAUAGGUAGAUUUUUUCAGAGUGAUUCCCUUUUAAUAGUAUAGAUAAUGAUCAUAACAUAUGAAUGGUAUAUAGUUGAAAACAAUUAUUUUUUUUUUUUUUUUUUUGCUAAAAAGUUGAAAACAAUUAUUGUAUGUUUGUUAUAAAACAGUCAUCAGUUUUACACUCUCAGCCAAAGUCCACCGUGGGUACUCCGGCUUAUGUAGCUCCGGAGGUCUUGUCCCGGAAAAAAUAUAAUGGGAAGGUAUGCGAAUUAAAUUAUUAACUAAUAUUUGAUUAAAUUACUAACAACUUGUGUGUAAAAAUGAUAUAAUCAAAUAAAUAUGAUAUUUGAUAUAUAUAUAGAUUGCAGAUGUAUGGUCGUGUAUGUGAUGUUAGUUGGUGCAUAUCCCUUUGAAGAUCCAGAAGAUCCAAGAAACAUUAGAAAAACCAUUCAGGUACUUAAAAUUUAAUUUAUAAUCAAACGUUCAUUCCACUAGUUAUAUAAUGCUGUCGUAUAUGAAAUUUAAAAUAAUUAUUAAUGUCAAAAUUAAUAAAUACUUACAGAGGAUCUUAAGUAUCCAUUAUACUAGGGCUGGGCAUUUUAUCCGUUAAAUUUGAUUCGUCAUUAUUCGUUUCGAUUCGAUCCAAAAAUUCUGGAUAUCCGUAAACUUUCAAAGCAAAGCAUUACUAAAAAUAAAUAUCAAAUCGAAGCAAAUCACAAAUAUUAAAAUUUUAAGAAGCGGAUAACCGAUUCGAUCCAGCAAUAUAUAAAUACAUGUAUAUCUUGAUUAUAUUUAAAGUUUUAAAUGUAAAAAAUUAUAGAAUAUUAUUCUAACAUAUGAUUUGAUAAAAUUAUAUAAUUAUUACUAUUCACAUUAUUACUUAUAUAAAAGUUACAUUAAAGGAAGAGAACACAUUUAUGAUAGUUAAAAGUUUUUUCUUAAAUUUGUAAUAAUUGUUAACUAAGUUCAAAAAAUUUACAAAAUAUGUAGAUUCACUACUUCUUUUAAUUUUUAUCAUAUAUAUCAUGCAAAAAAUAUUUUACAAAACAAAUUUGUAUCAAAUUAUUAAGACUAUUUGUAUUAAUCAAAACAUAUCAGAUAUCCGUAAGUAUUCGUAAAUAUCCGCAAAUAUCUAUUUAUUUUCUGGAUAUCCGUUUUUCCGAACAUUCGUAUUUUUCCGAAGCAAAGCAAAUUGAAAAAUUAGAUAUCCGUGACAUACGAAGCAAAUCAAAAAUACCUUAAAAAACUCGGAUAUCCGAUCCGUGCCCAGGCCCUACAUUUCACCAUACCGGACUACGUCAGGAUUUCCUCGGAAUGCAAGCAUCUCUUAUCUCAUAUCUUCGUCGCUGACCCUGAUAAGGUAAUGAAUUAAAACCUAAACCGGUUCAGUAUGAUUCAACAAAUUAUAUAUAUAUAUAUGGACUAACCAAUAUGGGCUAAAUCAAUGGAAUUUUUAUUUAUAAAAAAAAUCAGAAUGAAUCUUAAUAUGCUUACAUGAUGACUUUACUUUAAGAUACACUAAAAACCAAAACGCAACUUAUCCAAACAAAAAAAUUAAGAAAUAAUUCAUUAACAUCAAACUAUAUAAUCUAAAUAAAAUGGCGUUGUAUCAGCUACCAGUCGUGAAAACUGAUCAUUCGAACCGAAAUCCGGAUUGAAAAAAUAUGCUAAUACCGGGUUUCUAAUUUGAAAUCAUGCUAGAGAAUAACCGUACAAGAAAUCGAAAAGCACCCCUGGUUCUUAAAGAAUCUCUUGCCGGGGAAUUCAGAGGGAAAAUGUAACGGAGAUAAGACUGGAGUAGAACAAGAAGAAGAAGAAGAAGAGAGGUUUCGACAAAGCGUUGAUGAGAUAGUGAAGAUAAUAGAAGAAGCGUGAAAAGGAUUGGAUGGUAAGAAUAAUUGUGGUGGAUUAGGCUUAAUAAAUGGAAGCAUGGAUCUUGAUGAUAUUGAUGAUGUUGAUAUUUAUGACGAUGUGGAUGUUGAUGAUGAGAGAAAUGGUGAUUUUGUAUGUGCUCUAUGAUUUCAUAUCCAUGUAUACAUGCAUAUGAGAAGGGCUUGUAUCGCAGUGGUCUCCUUUUUCACAGAUGACUGCCAAAGGUCGCAGGUUCGACUCUAUGUCGCCGCGGUGGUACUAUGACUCUAAAUAAAAACCUAAGUGAUUUUCCUGAAUUUGGGGCACCACUUGCAGUGGGGUCUAGUCACUAUAAAAAGUUUAUCCAAAAUAGUUUUUACACCAAAACAAAAAAUAUACAUGCAUAUGCGUUAUAAGCGCAUGCAUGUAUUUUCUACCUAUAUAGCUUGAGAAUAUCUGAUGAUUUCAUGUUGCAUGUCGUUAUAAUUAAGUUGAAACUAAGUCCCUUUCUUCAGUUUAUCAGUUCGUCCGAUCCUUCCUUCCUCCUCUUUUCUUUUAGAUGUAAUGGUGCUGCAGCUUGCUACUUGUACCCGGAUAACAAUUAUAAUUAGUUAACAAAAAAAAAACAAUUAAGUGGAAACAAUAAAGUGUACGUUUGAUAUAAGUACACUUCUAUUACAUUGCUUUAUAUUCAAUCCUGUUCAACCCAUCUCUAUAUAAUCCGAAUAUAUAACAGUGUACGCUUAAUAUAUGUAUAAUCCAAAGAUAUAAGUGUACGCUAAAAGUGUAUAAGAAUGAUCAGUAAAUUUCUUAUUGGGAAAUUCACUACGAAAAUUAUUAAGCCACCAUACCAACUAUAAUCACCAUAUAUUGAAAUAAAUGUAAAAGGUAAAAAUGUGUGAAAAAUUGUAUGUAUGAGAGAAUGGUAGGAGACUAUAAUAUGCUGCUAGGCACGGUACAUUUUUACCUUUUACAAUUAUUUCAAUACAUAUAAGUACGUAAAAAGAUUUUCUUUCUCUGGCCAAGUUUUUGUAAAGAGCAUCUAUGUGAGACAAAGCACUAGCUCCAACCUCAUCCAUAUAUCAAUAUAUAUAUGUUUAGAGUAUUUAAUUUCUUAAACAUAAAUAUAGAACACUUAAUUUGGUACUUGGUGUAUAUAUAUAAAACCCCUACUUUACAAGAAAAAAAUAUAAUUGAAUAUGCAAAUCCCUAAUCAAAUAUAUGUGGCUUUCAAAAUCCAACUGUAUUUGGCAAAUGAUUAUUUUUUUGGUAUGGAAUUAGAGUGGCUCAAUACUAAUAAUUUGAGUGAAAUAAUGUAAACGACCCAUGCUAAUGACCAAACAUUAUGUCCAUAACGUUACUUUCUCGUAUUUAAAAUACCUCACAUACGAUAUAGAUCAUUUAUUAUUGCUUGUUCUUCUUGAAAGGACGCUGUAGCAUUUGUUGUAUUAUCUAUUUAUAGAAUAUUAAUAAUUUAGAUAUAUAACCACGUAUAAGCAAGCAUACAUCAUAGGAUAAAUCAUUUUUUCCUUUUUCUCUUAGUUACAAAAUAUAAUCAUUUAAAAACUCGGUAGGCUUAUUUUGAGGCAAAAACUGAAGUACGGCCAAAACAUCCGUCAUCAGCAUGCGGAUGUUCGGGGUCGUUUUACUAAAUGCACCUUCAUUGUGAAGUGACGAUUAGUUUAGGUUUCGGCCAAAACAUCCGUCACCAUCCAAUACCUCGACUCUCAUCAAAAUGAAAAUCAUUUUAUCUACCGGCCCCAAGCGGAACUUCACACAAGAUAACAAACGGCUAGGGAGUUGGUAAAGUUUUCGGUUUUUGAUGCCGGGAGAUGGUCACCUCUAACAAAGAGGGAUCUUGGUGGAAAAAUUCUCUCCUUAGAGAAGGAGGAGGUGGAGAGCGAUCUCUCUCGGCCUUGUCGAGAGGAAGUUUGCAAAAACUUAUCCACACAGGACAAUGUUAAAAGGCUGUUUGUUUUGAGCUUAGGGAGAUUUGGAAAUGAAACUAAGCAUUGUCUUGAGAUUAGAUUACUUAACUUUGGUCGACGUAUGGACGUUGGAAGAACAUGCCAAUAGCUGUUCACAGAGACACUUUGACAGUCUUUUGAAGACUCCAGAAGCUGUCCUCUAAAGCAAAGGAAGUAUGUCGAUGGUGGAAUAAGCGAAUUCUGCGAGACAACAAAGGGGUACUUCAGCGCCUGGAUAAAUUGUUCAUCAUGUACAGAGAACCUAGAGUAUUCCAUUCUGGCGCAAUCUGAAAUCAAGCUCCCACAUAUAAUGUCUCUUUCACACCCUAACAAAGUUGAACAGAACUUCCUCUGAGAUAGGUCAGUCUUUAAAGAGCUUGACACCUUCGUACCGGCGGACACAGAGAUGGGAUUGACACCAAUUUCCGAGGGGACAAGCUUUGAAUCCAACCAAAGUCUUCCCACUCCAGCAUUACCGUGUUGGAGCAAGAGAGGUUUGACGGAACAAAACCUGAGCCGUUGGUCGUUGAGGUCUGAAACGGUGAGACACGGUGAGCAGUCGAUGGUAAGUGUAGCUACGAACGGUGUUUGCAAUGAACAGCGAUUGGUCGGCGGUUCGUCGAACAGUAGGUUCCUCGCUUGGAUAGUUUGGUAGUAGUUCUGAGAGCCAUUGAGGCUCAUAGAUCUAGCGAGCAGUGAGCAGAGAGGACUGUUACAUGAGCCUCUUUUACACCAGAACCAAGUAGAAUCGAUCUUCCCCGGAGGGAGAAAAGUCAUGGUCUUAGGAGACAAGGAAGGUGGCGCCUGUCGCGUUAACUUGAGAUCUGAGAUCUGAGAAACACAAACCUGAGGAGGAGUGCAGGUAUUCUGACACAGAUCUGGAACUAUUGCAGCCAUGAGAGAUGGAGAAGGGCUACACAGAAGCCAGAAGAUAUAAAAUCGGUACUGAACGCAUCUCUCACAAAUAGCGACGGCGGAAGAGAUUACGUAACCCAAAUACACGAGAGCCUUGUGAAAAAACAGAAUAAAACAAAGAAGAAGGUCAGAGUGCUGGAAAACAGUGGAGAGACGGCGACGCCGGCGAGCUACGGAGCUGCCGGCGUCGGAAGCCAUGGAGGUACUGGUUGUUUCGAUAACUGUGUCUGGGAGAAAGUUUUACUCAGUUGUAUAACUUUUUCCAUCAUAUGCAUACUUUGUGUUUAGAAAUAAACUUCUAAAAAACUUUAAAGAACUCUACAAUCUUGUACUAAACCAAAAUUGUAACCCACCCUCCAUGAUUUUUACUUUUUUUUAUCUCAUCAAGCUUAGUUUAUUCCGCACCCCUUUAUCUAACAUCCUAUUCAAAACUUCCAUUGGCAUAAUCUUCUCCCAAUGGCUCAAUACUAAUAAUUUGAGUGAAAUAAUGUAAACGACCCAUGCUAACGACCAAACAUUAGGUCCAUAACGUUACUUUCUCGUAUUUUAAAUACCUCACUAUACGAUAUAGAUCAUUUAUUAUUGCUUCUUCUUCUUGAAAGUACGUUGUAGCAUUUGUUGUAUUAUCUAUUUAUAGAAUAUUAAUAAUUUAGAUAUAUAACCACAUAUAAGCAAGCAUACAUCAUAGGAUAAAUCAUUUCUUGUUAUAAAUCAUAUUGUGGAUGUCCAUAACCGGCCCAUAACUUAGAGAGAGAGUCGGCCCGUCUAGAGAGGAGAGAGAGACGGCCGCGCCCUAGAGAGAGAGAGAGAGUCGGCUACUUCCUUUUCUCCUUUGGCUACUUUCCUAUUUACUUUAGACUUAUGAUUUGUACUCUUUCCAUAUUUGUAUUUCCAUAUUCUAGUCUUUCCAUUAUUUUAUGACGGUGUAAUUCCCUAUAUAUAAAGGACUCCUUAUGUUUAUGAAUAAUAUACAGAAACAUACAGAUUCUAUUCUUUUGUUUCACAACACGUUAUCAUCACGAUUACUCUAAGAACCCUAAGCUAAAAUCCCGAGACCUAAAACCCUAAUUCCCCAUCGAUAAACCCUAUCGACGAUCACGAACCCGAAUCCCGAUCCUUGUUCCCGAUCCGUCCUCAGCACGCGACCUCAGUCCGUUCUCAGCUCGCGACCUCAGCCCGUUCGCGAGACACGAUCUCAGCCUGUUCGACGCGACCCGAUAGCAGCUUGCUCCCGUUCGCGAUAGACGACCUCAGUCCGCUCCAGCAUGCGAUGAUCUCAGCAAGCAGCACGUACGUGACCCGUUAGCAGCUCGAUACCGUUCGACGAUCAGCUCCAGCUCGCGACGAUCAGCAAGCAAUCCGUUCCCGGCUCUUCUCUAUUUGGUGGUCCAUUCAACCCUACUUGAGAUUUAGGUAAAACUAAAACCUAAGAACCAAACCCUAAGGCAAUAGAUCCAAUCCCUAAUAACCUAAAUUGAAUCUUAUUGCUUGAUUAAAAUCGAAACCCUAAUUCCCUAAAGCCUAGCCGCAUGCAUACCAUGCAAACCCUAAUUUGAAAUCGAAAUUGAUUUGAUUGUUUAUGUGAUUGAAUGUUUUGAAUUAUGAUCACAUAGAACUGAUUGCUAGGAUUGCUUAAUUUCAUACUUGAAUUUGGUUGAUUGAAUUGAUGAACCGAUUAGAUGUUAUCUUGAGAUAGAAAUCGCCUAAGUUGAUUAGUUCCCAUCUUGUUUUAAGACUUCAAUCUGACCGGCCUUGUUCAUAUGUUGAAACCCUAAUUGCAUUAAUCUCAUUCAAUAUGAUCGUUAGGUUGAUAGUAACUAAAUCCUUUGAUGCAUUGCUUGAUUGUUUGAUUGAGGUUUCAUGUUUCAUGAUCACUUAGAAACCAUUUUGCUAAGAUGUAUAAACGAUUGCAUUAUGAACAUAUAGAAACUGUUGGAUAAGAUUGUUCAUACCCUUGGCCGUGCGGCUUCUCUUGCAUCAUGCAUGUUCGGAUUGUUUGGUCGUGCGGCUUGUUAGCAAAUCAUGCAUACAUAAUCGUAUGAACUGAAUGCAUCAUAUCCGUUUGGUCGUGUGACCAAUUUGCAUAUCUGAUUGUCUUGUAUGCAUUAUAAGAACAUUAUAAACCUAAGAUUGAAACAUAUGAUUUCAGAUGUCGAAAAUCAACAACUUGGAUUUUUCUGCCCUAAAUCUCUCUGGAGAUAAUUACUUGCAAUGGGCACUUGAUGCUAAGAUCAUCCUAAAAUCCAAGGGACUCGGUGAAUGUAUCACCGAGGAUAAUAAUGCAAGUGAGAAAGAUAGAUACAAUGUGAUAUUAAUUAUACGCCAUAAUCUUAUUGUGAGUCUCAAAGAUCAAUACUUGACUAUUGAGAAUCCUCUAGACCUUUGGACAGAGUUGAAAACGAGAUAUGAUCACCAGAGAACGGUGUUAUUACCAAAGGUUAGAUAUGAUUGGAGGAAUCUCAGAAUCCAGGACUUUAAGUUCGUGGACGAGUAUAACUCGGCCCUGUUUAAAAUAGUUUCCAAGUUGAAACUGUGUGGUGAGGAUAUAACGGAUAAGGAUAUGCUUGACAAAACCUUUUCCACCUUCCACACAAGCAAUGUGUUGUUACAACAACAGUUCGUGAGAAGGGCUUCACAACUUAUGCUAAUCUGAUCUCUUGUCUCUUGCUCGCUGAGCAGAACAAUGAACUGUUGAUGAGAAACAGUGAAUUGAGACCUCCUGGAACAAACCCAUUACAUGAGGCACAUGCGCCGUAGAGGCUAAGAAAGAGUCGACCCAUGUCCAGAGUGAUAGCCAACACGACCGUGGUAGUGGAAAAUGGUAUGGACGUGGUGGUCGAGACCUGAUAUACCUUGGAUUUGACCCAUUUUUAUCCAUGGUAUAUUAGUAUUUUACUAUAUAUAUAUAUAUCUAUGUUUUCUACUCUUCUAGGUAUGUUUUCAGGUUCAGAUGCAUUUCGGAGUAAAGCUAUGACUUUGGAGCAUUUUGGAGCUUAAAGGACAUUUCACCCGAGCUGACCACUUAGAGGUCGACGAGAGGAAGAAUAAUCGACGGUCGAUAUCAGGAAAUGCCUCGACAGUUGAAGAUUAAUAUCGAUCGAUGUAUACAAGUACCAUCGAUCGAUGUCGAGACACCAGACGCGACAUUUUGGAUUCAGCAAACUUAAAAACCAAGGCCAAGCCAAAUUACCAAAAUGCCCUGACGAGUUUUUAACCUAGUAGAAUAUAUACUGCAAGUGUUUUGACGGCAGAAGAAGAGAGCUUUUUCUAGACCUAGUUUUGUUACAAGUUUCAUUUGGGAGAGAAGAUCACUUGUGAUUGGAACUCCUUGUUUCUAUUUCUUUUCAUCUAUUCUAUGAGUUCUUAUUUCUCUAUUGAUAUGAAUUGCUUUGCUAUGUGUGAGUAGUUCAACUGUUAGAUCCAGGGUUCAGAUAGGUUUGUGGGAUUAGCCCCAAACUAUAGAUCUGCCUUGUUGUGAUAUUCAUGAUAGAUUUGUAUUCAUUGCUUGUUUUAGCCUUGCUAACUAGAACUUGAUCAUAGGAUUGCAUAUUCAAGCACCCUUGUUAUCCCAUCCUGACAUCUAUCGAUCAUAUUAGGACUGCUAGAGAGGGCUAAACGCCAAUGCUGUGGCUCCUAUGGAGGCCAUGGACAUGGCCGAGGCCGUGGUACAUCUUUCAAGCCACAAAACUCGACCAAAUCUGUGUGUCAUAUAUGUGGUGUGGAUAAUCAUUGGGCUAAGACAUGUAGGACUCCCAAACAUCUCGUUGACCUCUACCAAGAGAGUUUGAAAGGGAAGAAUCCUGAAGCUCAUAUGACUUAUCAAGAUGGUGAAGAUGAUUUCAAUCAUGAACAAGACGAUCUCAUGGAGUAUGAAACGUCUGAUGGUUUAAAAGAUCAAAGUUGAUUUCGGCCAUCUAUUGUUUUGUGUUCUUUGCUUUAUGUUUUCUAUGUUUUGAUUUCUUUGAACUUGUUUUCUAUUUAUAGACUUAAUGAAUGAAAGUUUUAUAAAAGUCUCUAAAGUUUAGAUUUAUAAACGACUAUACGUCUUGAUAAUGAGUUCACGUCCCAAGCGUUUAAUGAUUACUGUAUGUCCAUGGGGGUAAGUGUGGAACACUCCGUGGCACAUGUACAUACACAGAACGGCUUGGCCGAAUCAUUCAUAAAACGAAUUCAGCUAAUAGCAAGACCAUUGAUUAUGAGGUCUAAGCUUCCGGCCACAGAUUGGGGACAUGCGGUCUUACACGCGGCUGAACUGAUUCGUAUCAGACCGUCUAGUGAACAAUAAAUAUUCCCCAUUACAAUUGCUUACGGGUCAUGAGCCAGACAUAUCCCAUCUUAAGACAUUUGGUUGUGCCGUCUAUGUGCCAAUUGCACCACCACAGAGAACAAAAAUAGGACCUCAAAGGAGGAUGGGGAUAUAUGUUGGAUAUGAUUCUCCCACGAUUAUUAAGUAUCUUGAGCCAACUACGGGUGAUUUGGUUAAGGCCAGAUACGCGGAUUGUCAUUUUGAUGAAUCCGAACAUCCAACAUUAGGGGGAGAGAAUACUAAGCUGGUAAAAGAAUUAAAUGGAAUCAAACAUCCUUAUCUUGGCAAGAUCCUCGGACUCAGGAAUGUGAUUUAGAAGUCCAAAAGAUAAUACAUUUACAAAAGCUAGCUAAUCAAUUGCCAGAUUCCUUUGCUGGCCCGAAAAGAGUGAUUAAGUCAUAUAUACCAGCUGCUAAUGCACCAAUAAGAAUUGAUGUUCAAGAGGGACACAAUCAAGUUGCUACAGAGUCUAGACAACGUUUGAAACAUGGUAGACCAAUAGGUUCCAAAGAUAAGAACCCUCGGAAAACUAAGAAAAGUGCAGAGAAUGAAACCGAGGUUGUUAAAACCCUAGACACGACCGCGGCCAUUCCUAAAUCCCAGGACUUAACCGCGGCCGAUCCCAAAACCCUAAUAGCGAUCGCGGCCGAUCAUGAAUGCUUAGAUUCGGUCGGCCCUGAUGUAUCUAAUACUGAUUCUUGGGACGCCAAGAUUCAAGGUACUAAAGGUCCUGAUAAUAAUGAGAUCUCAAUAAACUAUGUCUUGUCUGGGAUACAAUGGAACAGAAAGAAUGUCGACAUUGAUGAUAUAUUUGCAUGCAAUGUAGCACUUGAAAUCAUGGAUGAUAAUGAGGAUCAUGAACCCACGUCUAUUUAUGAGUGCACUCAACGAUCAGAUUGGAUCAAAUGGAAAGAAGCUAUAAACGUGGAGUUAAACUCUUUAAAGAAGAGAGAUGUCUUUGGACCAAUAGUCCGGACACCUUAUGAUGUUAAACCAGUCGGCCAUAAGUGGGUCUUUGUGAGAAAGAGAAACGAACAUGGUAAUGUCGUUAGAUAUAAAGCACAGCUUGUUGCACAAGGAUUCUUACAGAGACCAGGAAUAGAUUAUGAAGAGACAUACUCCUCUUUGGUGGACUCUACUACUUUUAGAUUUCUGAUAAAUCUGGCUAUAAGAGAGAAAUUAGACUUGGGGUUAAUGGAUGUUGUAACUGCAUACUUAUAUGGGCCACUGGAUAAUGAGAUUUAUAUGAGAGUACUAGAGGGUAUAGAGUUGAAAAACAAAUCGAGUACUCGAGAACAAUACUGUAUAAAGUUGAAUAAGUCACUUUACGGAUUAAAACAAUCAGGUCGAAUGUGGUACAAUAGGCUAAGUGAGUACCUAGAGAGAGAAGGAUACAAGAAUGAUCCAAUCAGCCCUUGUAUCUUUAUAAAUAAAUUCGGCCAGGGUUUUGUGAUUAUAGCAAUGUAUGUUGAUGAUUUAAAUAUCCUAGGAACCUCUGGAGAAAUCUCUCAAACAAUUGAAUAUCUUACGACAGAAUUCGAGAUAAAAAAGAUUUUGGAAAAAGAAAGUUUUGUUUGGGAUUACAGCUUGAGUACAUAAGAGAUGGAAUCCUUAUGCAUCAAAUGGCAUAUACAGAGAAAGUACUAAAGAGAUUCAAUAUGGCCGAGUCUCACCCAUUGUCUAGCCCCAUGGUCGUGAGGUCUCUCGGCCUGGACACUGAUCCGUUCCGUCCUAAGAUGGACGAUGAAGAUGUCCUUGGUCCCGAAGUGCCAUAUAUCAGUGCUAUAGGAGCUUUGAUGUAUCUGGCGAGUCACACACGACCAGAUAUAUGCUUUGCCGUGAAUCUAUUAUCUAGGUUUAGCUCUUGUACAGCCCAAAGGCACUUGGACGGGAUUAAACAUAUUCUUCGUUACCUGCAAGGAACGAAAGACUUGGGUUUAUUUUAUACUAACCAUAACAAAGAAGGGUUAGUUGGCUUUGCUGAUGCAGGUUAUCUCUCGGAUCCUCACAAUGCUCGAUCACAGACCGGCUACGUCUUUACUCAUGGUGGUACGUUCAUCUCAUGGCGUUCCAUGAAGCAGACGAUCGCGGCCACUUCAUCAAACCACUCGGAGAUCUUGGCUAUUCACGAGGCCAGCCGCGAGUCUGUAUGGUUACGGUCCAUGACCAACCACAUCCGAGUCGAUUGUGGGAUGACCGAAGGCAAGGACGCACCAACUGUGAUGUAUGAGGACAAUGUAGCUUGCAUUGCUCAGCUUAAAGGAUGGCUACAUCAAAGGAGACCGGACGAAGCACAUACUGCCUAAGUUCUUCUUCAUGCCCGAGCUUCAGAAAGCCGGUGAGGUCCAAGUUGUCUAAGUACGUUCCAGUGACAACUCAGCCGACCUGUUCACCAAAUCACUUCCUACCUGCAUAUUCAGAAACCUUACGAAUCAGAUUGGGAUGCGUAGACUAAAAGACCUUCAGUGAUGUUCAGAACAGGGGGAGUAAUACGUGUUGUACUCUUUUUCCUUCACCAUGGUUUUGUCCUACUGGGUUUUUCUGGUAAGAUUUUAAUGAGGCAACAUCUAAAGCGUAUUACAAACUCUGUAUGGUUAUGGCAUCCAAGGGGGAGUGUUAUAAAUCAUAUUGUGGAUAUCCAUAACCGGCCCAUAUCUUAGAGAGAGAGUCGGCCCGUCUAGAGAGAGAGAGACGGCCGCACCCUAGAGAGAGAGAUAGAGAGUCGGCUAUUUCCUUUUCUCCUUUGGCUACUUUCCUAUUUACUUUAGACUUAUGAUUUGUACUCUUUCCAUAUUUGUAUUUCCAUAUGCUAGUAUUUCCAUUAUUUUAUGACUGUGUAAUUUCCUAUAUAUAAAGGAUUCCUUAUGUUUAUGAAUAAUAUACAGAAACAUACAGAUUCUAUUCUUUUGUUUCACAACAUUUCUUCCUUUUUUCCUAGUUACAAAAUAUAAUCAUUUCAAAAUUCGGUAGACUUAUUUUGAGGCAAAAACUGAAGUACGGCCAAAACAUCCGUCAUCAGCGUGCGGAUGUUCGGCGUCGUUUUACUAAACGCACCUUCAUCGUGAAGUGAAGAUUCGUUUAGGUUGUUAGGGCUCGUUAGAUUUAAAAGUUUAAAGUGUGAAAGUAUAUUGAAAUCUGUUCGGAGCAUUGACGUUAUUUUAAUGUUAUUGAAGUUUGAUAUUAAUAUGUUUCUAGUUCACACUAUCGAUUAGGAUCAAGAGUUGUUUCGAUUAACACAACUGUACAAGUUAACCUAAUCUUCCUAGCUUUCGUAGACUGCAAGUCACCUAUUCUCACCAUCCCUUCCCAAACCAUCUUAAAAAGAAAUCCGUUUCGUCCUCACUAAAUUUUUUCACACAAUCUCAUCUCGUAUCCCGUGAAGUAAACAAUGUAUGAUUAUGAAUCUUAUGUAAAAGUUACCUUGUUCUUCUUGCUCAUCAUAUCAGCAAGCUCCUCAACAAGUUUCUUCUCUUUCUAUACUCUCAGCCUCUUAAAGCUCCUCCAAUAGAGAUUCUUCCCAUUGGAGCUCUUAAAAUAUGUAUUAUGUAUAUAUAUGUAUGUAUUAUAUAGGUAUAAGUAUUUGUGGGAUGGGGUUCACAAUUUUUGUGAAAUCCUAUAGGCAAAGGUUCUUAAUAUGAGAUUUUUGGAACCUUUGCCUAUGGGGUUCCACAAAAAUUAUGGACCCCACAAAUACUUAUACCUAUAUAAUAUAUACAUACAUAGAUAUAUAUAUGAUACAAGUUUUAAGAGCUCUAAUGGGAAGAACCCCAAUUGGAAGUGCUCUAAGGGCAUCUUUAUCGGGGUCUCUAACCCCUGUCUCUUAUGUUAACUAACAAUUAAAAAAAAUGAAAAAUCGAAAAAGAGCAAAAAAAUAAUACAUAUUUUAAGAGUUCCAGUAGGAAGAACCUCCAUUGGAGGUGGUCUUAGGUAUCUCACUAACUGAUCACCUCUCAUCUUAUUCUUUAUUCAAACACCGAAAUUCUGUUUUUUUCUUUUUUUUUGAAUGAAUGUUAAAUUUUUAUUCAUCAAAAAAACUUUUUUACAUCAUAUGCAUACUUUUUGUUUAGAAAUAACCUUCUAAAAAACUUUAAAGAACUCUACAAUCUUGUACUAAACCAAAAUUGUAACCCAGCCUCCAUGCUUUUUACUUUCUUUGAUCUCAUCAAGCUUAGUUUAUUCCUCACCCCUUUAUCUAACAUCUUCUUCAAAACUUCCAUUGACAUAAUCUUCUCCCCGUGAUGCAACUUAUUUCUUUCACGCCAAAGAGAAUACAUAGCUACUUGGAAUGCAUAUCUGAUACAAAACAACUUCUUCCUUUUCAUCUUCUCAUCAGAUAUCAGGAUCAGAAUAGCUUCCCACACAUUUGUAUAUGAUUCCCUCAAAAUCCCUUUAACAAGAAACUCCCAUACCUGAGUUGAAUAAGAACACUCGAAGAAAAGGUGAUCUCUUGACUCUUGAGCUGUUUUGCAUAAAGCACAGGUUGUAUCAACUCCUUGAUUCCAACGGAAAACUCUAUCCAUAGUAGAUAGCCUGUUUAACGCAGCCAACCAAGUCAAGAAUGCAUACUUAGGAGUUGCUCGAGAGAACCAAACACCACGAGACCAACGACACUGCGCCACAUGUUUUUGAAACCGCCAGUACUCUCAAAUCCACCGUCCCAUCAACCAGCUGGGAAAGCGCCACAUGUUUUUGAAACUUCUCCUGUUCCGUUACAAGGAGAUAUAUGAGCAAGUCAUGACUUGUCCGAGUGGCGUCUUAGUUGAUGCUACAACCUGUCUUUGACCACCGCAUGUUUUGCUUUUGCUCCUGAACCAUUGCAAGUUCAUGCAGAUCUCUAAACGAUAUAUCUCCACGACUCUAUCUCUUUCUCGAUACCGAACACAGCCUCUUUGAAAUCCAAGAUUAGUGAGUAGUACUCGUUUUGACCGUCGAUGGCUUAUUUCGCGGGUUUAUUUCGGACGGCUCUUUGUUUAAAUUACCCUAUCGGGUUAAAAAACUAAGUAACAAAACAAAACAAAAAUGAAAGCUUUCAAAACAUAAGAAGAUUAUUAUGCAAUCUAAGAAUCCAGCUCUACAAAGCAAAUCAACCAAUCAUCCAUAUAUAAUGCCCUAGAUUUGGGGAAUGAUUGUAUGUAUUCUACGGUUUUUGGAAAAUAACUUCUCCCUUCAUCUACUAAACCCGUGUGGCAGCAACAAGCGUUUAAAACCAUUUGAUUCCAGCGCUUACAACAUACUCAUCAUCUUCCGUAAUCCACAGCGCCUAUAAGAUUGAUAUCACACGCAUGCAGAGAUAACAUCAUCCUCUCCCAAAAAUUAACUCUCAUAGAGCAACCAUACAUUAAUGGAAGACUUAAUUAUGAUUCAGUCACCAUGAAACUACGGACGCACUAGCAGCACACCGAGACAAAUCAACGCAACUUAAUUCUUCACCCUUUUCAUAUCAGACAAAAUCAAAAUUCUUUAUACAGAUAUCUCCACCCGGUAGUAAGUAUCGGGUUGCAGUAAAUAGGAGCUUCAGUGUUGAGAUCAGUUUAUCUCUCUGGUUCAGUUGUAUAAGUCAAGGCGAUGAUACAAAUCUUUUGCUUAUUGAUGAUAAUGUGUUAAUCUUUUGGACAGGUUUUUACUUUCAUGAAUAUAAGUUCUAUUCUUUUAAUGGUUUCGGUGAGUUUAUCAAUUCUUUUUUUUUGAGGGACUGGGAGACUGGUGGAGCUGGAGUUUUGGAUUUAGAUUUUCGUGGAUCACAAUUGUUAAUAAAGCAAGUGGCUGAUGAAACUGGUUGUAUGACUUAUCCUUUAAUUAAUUGGUUUGGAAGGGACGUGUAUUAUGGAUCUACAAAGGCUUUAUUUUCUUGUUUUUUAAACACAAAAUUCAUCAAAUGAUUACACAAAAGGAAAAAGGGGGAUGUACGUGGGAUUUAGUUAUGAAAGAUCAUCGUACAUGGACACGAUUUCUUGUAAUGGAUACAGUUAUCGUGAGUAAGGUUUUUAAAAAUUUAUUAAAAAAUAAUAUAAGGACUUGGAUAUGAAAAUAUUGAGUUGGAAUUGUAGAGGAAUGGGGAGCAAUUAUACAAUUAGUUAUCUGAGGGAUAUAUGGCAUAAACAUAAACCGGCGUUUCUUUUCUUAUCAGAAACAAAACAACAGUUUGAUUUUGUUCAGAAUUUUCAAUUUCAUUUUGGGUAUAAACACCUACAUACGGUGGAUCCUAUUGGGAAAAGUGGAGGACUGGCUCUUUAUUACGAUCACGAUUCACCGGUGUCUAUUAUUUAUUCAAGUAAUAGAAUAAUAGAUAUUGAAACCACAUAUAAAGGAAAAACAAUUUUUAUUUCUUUUGUAUAUGGGGACCCCGUUCAGGGUCUUCGAGACCACGUUUGGGAACGUCUUACUCGAAUUGGGAUAAAUAGAGUGGACCCAUGGUUUAUUAUUGGGGAUCUAAAUGAAAUAAGAGGUAAUCAUGAGAAGGAAGGGGGGGUGUUACGACACACGUCCACUUUUGUCGAUUUUAAUAAUAUGAUUGACAAUUGUGGUUUUUUGGAAUUUCCUGCUGUGGGAAAUACUAUGUCAUGGAGUGGGACGAGGAACAAACAAACGGUAAAAUGUAGAUUAGAUCGGGCUUUAGGGAACGUGGAAUGGCACACCCUAUUCCCGUCCGCAUUUGUCGAGUAUUUGGGAAUGGUAGGCUCGGAUCAUAGGCCUAUUGUGACGAAUUUAGAUGAGAAACAAGUAAGAACGAGAAGGCAAUUUCGGUUUGAUAAGAGAUGGAUUGGUAUGGAUGGUCUUAUGGAUUCCAUUUCGAGAGGUUGGUCUACAGGAAGGCCAAGUCAUAAUUCGGGAGUGGUAGAUAGAAUUAUCAACUGUAGACAUGAAAUUUCGGUUUGGAGGAAAAAUAAUCCACCAUAUGGGAAGGAAAAGAUUAAUUCUCUUCAGAAGGCUUUGGAGGACAUUCAGUGUGAUAAUACCAAGACAUAUGAGGAGGUGCUAGAAGUUUCUAGGAAGUUAAAAGAAGCUUAUAGGGAUGAAGAAUUAUACUGGGAACAAAAAAGUCGAACGACUUGGCAUGCAAAAGGGGAUAGAAAUACAAAAUUCUAUCACGCCCUAACUAAGCAGAGACGAAUACAAAAUAAAAUUGUGGGUUUGCACAAUAGUGGUGGUAAUUGGGUAACAUCAGAAUCUGAGGUAGAAGGUGUUGCGAUAGAUUACUUUAAUGACUUGUUCACAACGACAUCACCUUCGGGCUAUGAAGAUUUUCUAAGUGAGGUGCCUACUUUGAUUACAGAGGAUCAAAACAGGUCUUUGACCUCUUGGGCAUCAGAGGAGGAAGUGAAAUCAGCUUUAUUCAUGAUGCAUCCUGAAAAAGCUCCAGGACCGGAUGGAAUGACGGCUUUAUUUUUCCAACAAUCCUGGUCGAUUAUUAGAUCAGAUAUCACAAAUAUGGUUAACGAAUUUUUUAGGACUGGAUAUUUGGAGGAGAGGAUGAAUAUGACCAAUAUUUGCCUCAUCCCAAAGACAGUGCGACCAAGUAGAAUGACGGAAUUGAGGCCAAUUAGUUUAUGUAAUGUGGGUUAUAAGAUUAUUUCGAAGGUGCUUUGCCAACGGCUGAAGAGGCUACUACCACAAUUGGUAUCAGAAACACAAUCCGCUUUUGUUUCUGGGAGACUGAUCUCCGAUAAUAUAUUAAGGUGCAACUUUUGGAAAGGUAACUGCCCCUUCUUCUAUAAAAGGCAGGAAAGUCCGUGCCUUUGCAGGCACGCCAGGGCUUCCUCCUACACCCUGAAACACAAAGAAACACAGAGAAAAGACAGAGAGUUGGCCGGAUUCCCAAUCCAAGACCCAUGGUGGUGUGACUGAUACAAAACAACUUCUUCCUUUCCAUCUUCUCAUCAGAUAUCAGGAUCAGAAUAGCCUCCACACAUUUGUAUACGAUUCCCACAAAAUCCCUUUAACAAGAAACUCCCAUAUCUGAGUUGAAUAAGAACACUCAAAGAAGAGGUGAUCUCUUGACUCUUGAGCUGUUUUGCAUAAAGCACAGGUUGUAUCAACUCCUUGAUUCCAACGGAAAACUCUAUCCAUAGUAGAUAGCCUGUUUAACGCAGCCAACCAAGUCAAGAAUGCAUACUUAGGAGUUGCUCGAGAGAACCAAACACCACGAGACCAACGACACUGCGCCACAUGUUUUUGAAACCGCCAGUACUCUCAAAUCCACCGUCCCAUCAACCAGCUGGGAAAGCGCCACAUGUUUUUGAAACUUCUCCUGUUCCGUUACAAGGAGAUAUAUGAGCAAGUCAUGACUUGUCCGAGUGGCGUCUUAGUUGAUGCUACAACCUGUCUUUGACCACCGCAUGUUUUGCUUUUGCUCCUGAACCAUUGCAAGUUCAUGCAGAUCUCUAAACGAUAUAUCUCCACGACUCUAUCUCUUUCUCGAUACCGAACACAGCCUCUUUGAAAUCCAAGAUUAGUGAGUAGUACUCGUUUUGACCGUCGAUGGCUUAUUUCGCGGGUUUAUUUCGGACGGCUCUUUGUUUAAAUUACCCUAUCGGGUUAAAAAGCUAAGUAACAAAACAAAACAAAAAUGAAAGCUUUCAAAACAUAAGAAGAUUAUUAUGCAAUCUAAGAAUCCAGCUCUACAAAGCAAAUCAACCAAUCAUCCAUAUAUAAUGCCCUAGAUUUGGGGAAUGAUUGUAUGUAUUCUACGGUUUUUGGAAAAUAACUUCUCCCUUCAUCUACUAAACCCGUGUGGCAGCAACAAGCGUUUAAAACCAUUUGAUUCCAGCGCUUACAACAUACUCAUCAUCUUCCGUAAUCCACAGCGCCUAUAAGAUUGAUAUCACACGCAUGCAGAGAUAACAUCAUCCUCUCCCAAAAAUUAACUCUCAUAGAGCAACCAUACAUUAAUGGAAGACUUAAUUAUGAUUCAGUCACCAUGAAACUACGGACGCACUAGCAGCACACCGAGACAAAUCAACGCAACUUAAUUCUUCACCCUUUUCAUAUCAGACAAAAUCAAAAUUCUUUAUACAGAUAUCUCCACCCGGUAGUAAGUAUCGGGUUGCAGUAAAUAGGAGCUUCAGUGUUGAGAUCAGUUUAUCUCUCUGGUUCAGUUGUAUAAGUCAAGGCGAUGAUACAAAUCUUUUGCUUAUUGAUGAUAAUGUGUUAAUCUUUUGGACAGGUUGUUACUUUCAUGAAUAUAAGUUCUAUUCUUUUAAUGGUUUCGGUGAGUUUAUCAAUUCUUUUUUGAGGGACUGGGAGACUGGUGGAGCUGGAGUUUUGGAUUUAGAUUUUCGUGGAUCACAAUUGUUAAUAAAGCAAGUGGCUGAUGAAACGGGUUGUAUGAUUUAUCCUUUAAUUAAUUUGUUUGGAAGGGACGUGUGUUAUGGAUCUACAAAAGCUUUAUUUUCUUGUAUUUUUAAACACAAAAUUCAUCAAAUGAUUACACAAAAGGAAAAAGGGGGAUGUACGUGGGAUUUAGUUAUACAAGAUCAUCGUACAUGGACACGAUUUCUUGUAAUGGAUACAAUUAUCGUGAGGAAGGUUUUUAAAAAUUUAUUAAAAAACAAUAUAAGGACUUGGAUAUGAAAAUAUUGGGUUGGAAUUGUAGAGGAAUGGGGAGCAAUUAUAUGAUUAGUUAUCUGAGGGAUAUAUGGCAUAAACAUAAACCGGCGUUUCUUUUCUUAUCAGAAACAAAACAACAGUUUGAUUUUGUUCAGAAUUUUCAAUUUCAUUUUGGGUAUAAACACCUACAUACGGUGGAUCCUAUUGGGAAAAGUGGAGGACUGGCUCUUUAUUACGAUCACGAUUCACCGGUGUCUAUUAUUUAUUCAAGUAAUAGAAUAAUAGAUAUUGAAACCACAUAUAAAGGAAAAACAAUUUUUAUUUCUUUUGUAUAUGGGGACCCCGUUCAGGGUCUUCGAGACCACGUUUGGGAACGUCUUACUCGAAUUGGGAUAAAUAGAGUGGACCCAUGGUUUAUUAUUGGGGAUCUAAAUGAAAUAAGAGGUAAUCAUGAGAAGGAAGGGGGGGUGUUACGACACACGUCCACUUUUGUCGAUUUUAAUAAUAUGAUUGACAAUUGUGGUUUUUUGGAAUUUCCUGCUGUGGGAAAUACUAUGUCAUGGAGUGGGACGAGGAACAAACAAACGGUAAAAUGUAGAUUAGAUCGGGCUUUAGGGAACGUGGAAUGGCACACCCUAUUCCCGUCCGCAUUUGUCGAGUAUUUGGGAAUGGUAGGCUCGGAUCAUAGGCCUAUUGUGACGAAUUUAGAUGAGAAACAAGUAAGAACGAGAAGGCAAUUUCGGUUUGAUAAGAGAUGGAUUGGUAUGGAUGGUCUUAUGGAUUCCAUUUCGAGAGGUUGGUCUACAGGAAGGCCAAGUCAUAAUUCGGGAGUGGUAGAUAGAAUUAUCAACUGUAGACAUGAAAUUUCGGUUUGGAGGAAAAAUAAUCCACCAUAUGGGAAGGAAAAGAUUAAUUCUCUUCAGAAGGCUUUGGAGGACAUUCAGUGUGAUAAUACCAAGACAUAUGAGGAGGUGCUAGAAGUUUCUAGGAAGUUAAAAGAAGCUUAUAGGGAUGAAGAAUUAUACUGGGAACAAAAAAGUCGAACGACUUGGCAUGCAAAAGGGGAUAGAAAUACAAAAUUCUAUCACGCCCUAACUAAGCAGAGACGAAUACAAAAUAAAAUUGUGGGUUUGCACAAUAGUGGUGGUAAUUGGGUAACAUCAGAAUCUGAGGUAGAAGGUGUUGCGAUAGAUUACUUUAAUGACUUGUUCACAACGACAUCACCUUCGGGCUAUGAAGAUUUUCUAAGUGAGGUGCCUACUUUGAUUACAGAGGAUCAAAACAGGUCUUUGACCUCUUGGGCAUCAGAGGAGGAAGUGAAAUCAGCUUUAUUCAUGAUGCAUCCUGAAAAAGCUCCAGGACCGGAUGGAAUGACGGCUUUAUUUUUCCAACAAUCCUGGUCGAUUAUUAGAUCAGAUAUCACAAAUAUGGUUAACGAAUUUUUUAGGACUGGAUAUUUGGAGGAGAGGAUGAAUAUGACCAAUAUUUGCCUCAUCCCAAAGACAGUGCGACCAAGUAGAAUGACGGAAUUGAGGCCAAUUAGUUUAUGUAAUGUGGGUUAUAAGAUUAUUUCGAAGGUGCUUUGCCAACGGCUGAAGAGGCUACUACCACAAUUGGUAUCAGAAACACAAUCCGCUUUUGUUUCUGGGAGACUGAUCUCCGAUAAUAUAUUAAUUGCUCAGGAGAUGUUUCAUGGAUUAAGAACGAAUAAUUCAUGUAAGGAGAAAUUUUUGGCUAUAAAAACAGAUAUGAGCAAAGCAUAUGAUAGGCUAAGACACAAGACACAACAAUUGAUCGGUGUUAUACAUGGGGAUGGAGAAGACUACACUCAGUGCAGAAUAUAACAACUAUAGCUCUGAACAUAUAACAAACCUCUUAGUUUCCACUGAAGAUAGACAGUUGAUAAUCUUCACCAACUCAGAUGUAAGUUUUUGCCACCAAACAAAAGUAGAUGUUUAUUCUAUUUGUUAAAUUUUUAUUCAUCAAAAAAACAUUUUUACAUCAUAUGCAUACUUUGUAUUUAGAAAUAACCUUCUAAAAAACUUUAAAGAACUCUACAAUCUUGUACUAAACCAAAAUUGUAACCCACCCUCCAUGCCUCUUACUUUCUUUGAUCUCAUCAAGCUUAGUUUAUUCCUCACCCCUUUAUCUAACAUCCUCUUCAAAACUUCCAUUGGCAUAAUCUUCCCCCCAUGAUGCAACUUAUUUCUCUCACGCCAAAGAAAAUACAUAGCCACUUGGAAUGCAUAUCUGAUACAAAACAACUUCUUCCUUUCCAUCUUCUCAUCAGAUAUCAGGAUCAGAAUAGCCUCCACACAUUUGUAUACGAUUCCCACAAAAUCCCUUUAACAAGAAACUCCCAUAUCUGAGUUGAAUAAGAACACUCAAAGAAGAGGUGAUCUCUUGACUCUUGAGCUGUUUUGCAUAAAGCACAGGUUGUAUCAACUCCUUGAUUCCAACGGAAAACUCUAUCCAUAGUAGAUAGCCUGUUUAACGCAGCCAACCAAGUCAAGAAUGCAUACUUAGGAGUUGCUCGAGAGAACCAAACACCACGAGACCAACGACACUGCGCCACAUGUUUUUGAAACCGCCAGUACUCUCAAAUCCACCGUCCCAUCAACCAGCUGGGAAAGCGCCACAUGUUUUUGAAACUUCUCCUGUUCCGUUACAAGGAGAUAUAUGAGCAAGUCAUGACUUGUCCGAGUGGCGUCUUAGUUGAUGCUACAACCUGUCUUUGACCACCGCAUGUUUUGCUUUUGCUCCUGAACCAUUGCAAGUUCAUGCAGAUCUCUAAACGAUAUAUCUCCACGACUCUAUCUCUUUCUCGAUACCGAACACAGCCUCUUUGAAAUCCAAGAUUAGUGAGUAGUACUCGUUUUGACCGUCGAUGGCUUAUUUCGCGGGUUUAUUUCGGACGGCUCUUUGUUUAAAUUACCCUAUCGGGUUAAAAAACUAAGUAACAAAACAAAACAAAAAUGAAAGCUUUCAAAACAUAAGAAGAUUAUUAUGCAAUCUAAGAAUCCAGCUCUACAAAGCAAAUCAACCAAUCAUCCAUAUAUAAUGCCCUAGAUUUGGGGAAUGAUUGUAUGUAUUCUACGGUUUUUGGAAAAUAACUUCUCCCUUCAUCUACUAAACCCGUGUGGCAGCAACAAGCGUUUAAAACCAUUUGAUUCCAGCGCUUACAACAUACUCAUCAUCUUCCGUAAUCCACAGCGCCUAUAAGAUUGAUAUCACACGCAUGCAGAGAUAACAUCAUCCUCUCCCAAAAAUUAACUCUCAUAGAGCAACCAUACAUUAAUGGAAGACUUAAUUAUGAUUCAGUCACCAUGAAACUACGGACGCACUAGCAGCACACCGAGACAAAUCAACGCAACUUAAUUCUUCACCCUUUUCAUAUCAGACAAAAUCAAAAUUCUUUAUACAGAUAUCUCCACCCGGUAGUAAGUAUCGGGUUGCAGUAAAUAGGAGCUUCAGUGUUGAGAUCAGUUUAUCUCUCUGGUUCAGUUGUAUAAGUCAAGGCGAUGAUACAAAUCUUUUGCUUAUUGAUGAUAAUGUGUUAAUCUUUUGGACAGGUUUUUACUUUCAUGAAUAUAAGUUCUAUUCUUUUAAUGGUUUCGGUGAGUUUAUCAAUUCUUUUUUUUUGAGGGACUGGGAGACUGGUGGAGCUGGAGUUUUGGAUUUAGAUUUUCGUGGAUCACAAUUGUUAAUAAAGCAAGUGGCUGAUGAAACGGGUUGUAUGAUUUAUCCUUUAAUUAAUUUGUUUGGAAGGGACGUGUGUUAUGGAUCUACAAAAGCUUUAUUUUCUUGUAUUUUUAAACACAAAAUUCAUCAAAUGAUUACACAAAAGGAAAAAGGGGGAUGUACGUGGGAUUUAGUUAUACAAGAUCAUCGUACAUGGACACGAUUUCUUGUAAUGGAUACAAUUAUCGUGAGGAAGGUUUUUAAAAAUUUAUUAAAAAACAAUAUAAGGACUUGGAUAUGAAAAUAUUGGGUUGGAAUUGUAGAGGAAUGGGGAGCAAUUAUAUGAUUAGUUAUCUGAGGGAUAUAUGGCAUAAACAUAAACCGGCGUUUCUUUUCUUAUCAGAAACAAAACAACAGUUUGAUUUUGUUCAGAAUUUUCAAUUUCAUUUUGGGUAUAAACACCUACAUACGGUGGAUCCUAUUGGGAGAAGUGGAGGACUGGCUCUUUAUUAUGAUCACGAUUCACCGGUGUCUAUUAUUUAUUCAAGUAAUAGAAUAAUAGAUAUUGAAACCACAUAUAAAGGAAAAACAAUUUUUAUUUCUUUUGUAUAUGGGGACCCCGUUCAGGGUCUUCGAGACCACGUUUGGGAACGUCUUACUCGAAUUGGGAUAAAUAGAGUGGACCCAUGGUUUAUUAUUGGGGAUCUAAAUGAAAUAAGAGGUAAUCAUGAGAAGGAAGGGGGGGUGUUACGACACACGUCCACUUUUGUCGAUUUUAAUAAUAUGAUUGACAAUUGUGGUUUUUUGGAAUUUCCUGCUGUGGGAAAUACUAUGUCAUGGAGUGGGACGAGGAACAAACAAACGGUAAAAUGUAGAUUAGAUCGGGCUUUAGGGAACGUGGAAUGGCACACCCUAUUCCCGUCCGCAUUUGUCGAGUAUUUGGGAAUGGUAGGCUCGGAUCAUAGGCCUAUUGUGACGAAUUUAGAUGAGAAACAAGUAAGAACGAGAAGGCAAUUUCGGUUUGAUAAGAGAUGGAUUGGUAUGGAUGGUCUUAUGGAUUCCAUUUCGAGAGGUUGGUCUACAGGAAGGCCAAGUCAUAAUUCGGGAGUGGUAGAUAGAAUUAUCAACUGUAGACAUGAAAUUUCGGUUUGGAGGAAAAAUAAUCCACCAUAUGGGAAGGAAAAGAUUAAUUCUCUUCAGAAGGCUUUGGAGGACAUUCAGUGUGAUAAUACCAAGACAUAUGAGGAGGUGCUAGAAGUUUCUAGGAAGUUAAAAGAAGCUUAUAGGGAUGAAGAAUUAUACUGGGAACAAAAAAGUCGAACGACUUGGCAUGCAAAAGGGGAUAGAAAUACAAAAUUCUAUCACGCUCUAACUAAGCAGAGACGAAUACAGAAUAAAAUUGUGGGUAUGCACAAUAGUGAUGGUAAUUGGGUAACAUCAGAAUCUGAGGUAGAAGGUGUUGCGAUAGAUUACUUUAAUGACUUGUUCACAACGACAUCACCUUCGGGCUAUGAAGAUUUUCUAAGUGAGGUGCCUACUUUGAUUACAGAGGAUCAAAACAGGUCUUUGACCUCUUGGGCAUCAGAGGAGGAAGUGAAAUCAGCUUUAUUCAUGAUGCAUCCUGAAAAAGCUCCAGGACCGGAUGGAAUGACGGCUUUAUUUUUCCAACAAUCCUGGUCGAUUAUUAGAUCAGAUAUCACAAAUAUGGUUAACGAAUUUUUUAGGACUGGAUAUUUGGAGGAGAGGAUGAAUAUGACCAAUAUUUGCCUCAUCCCAAAGACAGUGCGACCAAGUAGAAUGACGGAAUUGAGGCCAAUUAGUUUAUGUAAUGUGGGUUAUAAGAUUAUUUCGAAGGUGCUUUGCCAACGGCUGAAGAGGCUACUACCACAAUUGGUAUCAGAAACACAAUCCGCUUUUGUUUCUGGGAGACUGAUCUCCGAUAAUAUAUUAAUUGCUCAGGAGAUGUUUCAUGGAUUAAGAACGAAUAAUUCAUGUAAGGAGAAAUUUUUGGUUCCAGGACCGGAUGGAAUUAUGGCUUUAUUUUUCCAACAAUCCUGGUCGAUUAUUAGAUCAGAUAUCACAAAUAUGGUUAACGAAUUUUUUAGGACUGGAGAUUUGGAGGAGAGGAUGAAUAUGACCAAUAUUUGCCUCAUCCCAAAGACAGUGCGACCAAGUAGAAUGACGGAAUUGAGGCCAAUUAGUUUAUGUAAUGUGGGUUAUAAGAUUAUUUCGAAGGUCCUUUACCAACGGCUGAAGAGGCUAUUACCACAAUUGGUAUCAGAAACACAAUCCGCUUUUGUUUCUGGGAGACUGAUCUCCGAUAAUAUAUUAAUUGCUCAGGAGAUGUUUCAUGGAUUAAGAACGAAUAAUUCAUGUAAGGAGAAAUUUUUGGCUAUAAAAACAGAUAUGAGCAAAGCAUAUGAUAGGGUCGAAUGGCCUUUUAUUGAGGCGAUGCUACUAAAGCUGGGUUUCGCACAAAGGUGGGUAUCUCGGAUAAUGUCUUGUAUUACGUCGGUAAAAUAUAAAAUUGUGAUUAAUGGUCAACCAAAAGGACAUAUUAUACCAAACCGAGGACUUCGUCAAGGUGAUCCGUUAUCACCUUAUUUGUUCAUUUUGUGUACUGAGGCAUUAAUAGCAAAUAUACGGAAAAAGGAAGAAGCAAAAUUAUUGACGGGGUUAAAAAUCACGCAUGGUAGUCCGGCAAUUACACACUUAUUAUUUGCGGAUGAUAGCCUCUUCUUUUGCAAAGCUAAUAGGCAAGAAUGUGAGACUAUCAUACAGAUUUUGAAAGACUAUGAGAGAGCAUCGGAGCAACAGAUUAACUUUCAGAAGUCUUCAAUUCAGUUUGGUCAUAAAGUACCGGAUGUAGCACGUUUAGAGGUGCAACAGGUUUUGGGCAUUACUACAAUUGGUGGUAUGGGAACAUACUUGGGGAUUCCCGAAAGUCUUGGUGGCUCUAAAACACAAGUAUUUGGUUAUCUUAAUGAAAGGGUCAAUAAUAAGGUUAAUAAUUGGACUAUUCGAUUCAUUACGAAAGGAGGAAAGGAAGUUUUAAUUAAAGCAGUCGCUUCCCCUAUGCCAACUCAUCUUAUGUCCUGCUUUCGGUUACCAAAAACGGUUACGAAAAAAAUUACCAGUCGGUUGGUCAUUUUUGGUGGGGUGGUAGUGGUAAUAAAAAAGGUAUGCAUUGGUUUGCCUGGGAUAAAAUGUGCAAAGAUAAACCGGACGGUGGUAUUGGUUUUAGAGAUAUUCAAAAUUUUAAUACGGCAUUAUUAGCAAAACAACUAUGGAGGUUAAUCGAUAAACCUGAUUCUCUUUUUGCAAGAGUUUUUAAAGGAAGAUACUAUAGAAAAUCUGAUCCUUUGGAUCCAAUCAGAUCAUAUUCUCCCUCAUAUGGGUGGAGAAGUAUUACAUCAGCUAGAUCUCUGGUUAAUAAAGGGCUAAUCAAAAGAGUGGGAACUGGUUCAAGCAUUUCAGUCUGGAAUGAUCCUUGGAUCCCUGCUCCUCGCCCGAGGUCAGCAAUACCAAAAUGUUCGAAUCAAUAUUUGAAUCCAUUACUUAAGGUGGAGGAUUUAAUUAAUCCAGUCGAUCUCUCUUGGAAUCUGGAUUUGCUCAAGGUAUAUAUUCACCAGGACGAUGUGGAUAUUAUACGGAGUUUAGCUAUUAGUCGUAACCCAAAACCAGAUUCAUAUAGAUGGCAUUUUACGGACCAUGGUCAAUAUACGGUUAAAUCAGGUUACCGUACGGAUAAAUUAUUUCCAGAUAUGGGAUCUUAUGAUAGAGUUUUGGGACCAGAUAUUAAGCCAUUGUUGGCUCAUUCUUGGAAGCUUCAAUGUUCACCAAAGCUGAAACAUUUUGUUUGGCAGAUACUUUCGGGUAAUCUACCGGUAACCAAGAAUCUUCAUUCACGAGGGAUAAAAUGUGAUGUGCAAUGUCAAAUAUGUGGUGCAGAAGAAGAAUCUAUUAAUCAUGUUCUGUUUGAGUGUCCAUUAGCACUACAAACGUGGGCUUUAUCUAAUAUUCCCUCAUGCCCAGGUGUCUUUCCCACCCCGUCACUUUUCACAAAUAUGGACUAUCUUUUCUGGCGGUUACCUAAGGAACCAGAUUUGAAUUAUUUUCCAUGGAUAUUGUGGUAUAUUUGGAAGAAUAGAAACGCUAAAGUUUUUAAGAAUCAGAUAAAAACCCCUUUUGAUAUUCUUCGAAUGGCGAAAAUAGAAGGUGUUUUGCGAAGGUGUUUUGUGGGCUGAAACCCAGACAAAGGAACCUAUAAACCGUGAAUCUCUACAUAUUGCAGAGACCCAUUUUCCACAUGGAGUUAAUAAGUGUUAUAUAGAUGGAGCAUGGAAGGAAAAUGAUCUUUAUACAGGGCAGAGAUGGGUCUACAGAAAAGAUGGAUCAACUGAUACUAUGAUGGGUGCAAUGUCUAUUCGCAGGAGUCUAUCACCUUUACAUGCUGAAUGUGAAGCUUUGAUAUGGGCGAUGGAGUGCAUGAAGACCCUACAGAUCUCAGAGGUGGUGUUUGCAACAGAUUGUUCUCAAUUGGUGAAGAUGGUGUCUAUACCGACAGAAUGGCCGGCGUUCACUACACACAUGGAGGAGUUUCUGCGAUGUAAGGAAUUCUUUCUCAACUUUACUAUUCAGAAUAUACCAAGGACGCAAAAUACUCCGGCGGACAAACUGGCACGAGGUGCUAGAACUUCGCCAUCUGCUAUGGUUUAUGUUGACUCAAUUCCUUCGAGGUGGCUCUCAGAACAGGAAUCUUCUUAAUUUCUUAGCCUUUUGUCGUAAAAAAAAAAAGAUCUCUCCACCCGAAAUCAAAUCAAGUAUGAUUGUUUGUUCUAUUGUUGCCCACUAAAGUCAUCUUGCUUCAACAUACUACCGAUCCAUGUUUAAAUUAGAACUAUCUCAUAGAUUUUUUAAUAUAUAAUUAUAGAUCGAUGUGUAGAUAGGAAUUAAUAAAUUAACUAAAAAAAAGUAAAGGACGUAACAUCCAUUUCUAUAACAUCAAAUAUUUAUUGGUACAAGAAUAAAUAAUAAAAACUUAGUAUUAAAUCCAUUUUUAGGGUUUUAAAUUAUAAAUAUGUAAAAUAAUUUCAUCCAAAUCUAAUAAUCAAUUUGAAUAGUAAAUUGAAUUAUAAUUUUCUUGAGUAUUCAACGGCCAUGUAUUCGCACUCGCAAGCCAUUUUUAGGAAUCUUUUUCCCGGUGGGGGCGGUGGGAUAUCUUUACAAGUUCCGUUUACUGUAUUUUUAUACUUGCGUUUGCACACCCUUAAGCAUUGUCCCGUAACACGUGGAUUGCAGGGUAAAUAUAGUAGACUUAGGACCUGACUGGUUUAAACGCAGCGGUUGCGGUUGAAGUUGCGGGAGUUUGUGAAUGCGGGCCGCUGCGGUUUCUAGCGGUUUUAAGAGAUUUGUACGACUGGUACUGCGGUUAAAAAUUGAUGCGUUUGCGGGUGACUUAUGACUGUUCUUUUUGUAUAUAUAUUGUUUAAAAAAAAAAAAAUUUACCCUCCCGCAACCGCUCGCAACCGCAAACGCUAGCUGGAGCCAGCUUUUGAAUUUAUGAGGUUCAGAGCGGUUUGAAGCGGUUUAGAGCGAUUUGAAUGAUUAUUGCAAACCGCCGACAACCGCUACCAACCGCAAAAGCUACGUUUGCAGGUGGUAGCAGGAAAACCAGUCGUCCCUUAAUCAAAGGCCUCCUCGCUCCUACCGUUUCUGGUCAUUUAACAAAAUAAUAGUGGUUGCUAAGAAAAUAAUAAUGAAUCGAGUCUGAAAUAUUGAAGCCUUUACAAAUAAUACAUUUUAAGAAAAUCACUAAAUGUUUACCUUACUGGAUUGUUUGUCAAGAUAUUACAAUCAUUAUUCAAAAAAAAAAGAUAUUACAUUCAUUAUUUUAUAAUUCAAUCGACGAAAAAAAACAAUUGUGAUCUACGUAAGUAAGAAUAGAUAGAGUGAUAUAUAUAUAUAUAGUUAAUAUACAUAAACAUUAAUUCAUAGUGUUUAUCUCACCUGAAUUGAAUUUUACAUUUAACUUAAAAAUAUGUGUUUUACCCCAAAAAUAAGGGUGUUCAAUCUGAUAAAACCGAACCAACUAAAACUAAACCGAACUGAAAUAGAAAAAGUGGCUUGGAUUUGGUAAUAAAAUAUACCGAAUAAAUUUUAUUUUUAAGAAACCAGAUAUAUGGAUAUGGAUUGGUAUAUAAACCGAUCAAUUACAAUAUAGAAAUAUAAUUAUAUGUUAAUUAUGUAAGAUCAUUAAGAAUUUAUACAUGUGUUACAAAAACAAUAAGAAUAUAUACAUAAUUGAUUUUAUUGAUAUGGUCUUCAUAGUUAAAAUGUUUAUUUUAGUAAUUUAAUAUUUUGGUUUAAGUUAAAAAGCUAUGAUUCAUUUUUAUUAAAUUAAAUAAAAACAUAAAUUUUACCUUUUUGUUAACAUAUAUGUGUGCUAAUAUUUAGUUAUUUAUAUUAUUAUGGAUUACUAAUUGUUAUUAUUUUUAUUCUAUUAAAACUAUUAUAAUUAUUAACUUAAUAUGUUUACUAAUUAUUUAAAUAGUAAAAGAUAAAGGGAAAAUAGGCAAUUUUAAUACCAAAUUUUUCAUGUUAUAUUAAAGCCGAUUUCUAAUCACAUAAACAAAAUUCAUAAAGUAUUUUAAAAGAUAAAUAAAUUUAUGGUUUUUUGAUAUAAAAUCGAAUAAACCAAAAACCGAUAGUAUGUAAACCGAACUAAACUAAAGUAAAUAUGAUAGCUAUUUUUUUAUAAACCGAAAUACCAAAAAAAUCAAGCAUAAACCGAAUUGAUAUCCGGAUUGAACACCCCUACCCAAAAAUAACUUUAAAUUGUGUAGAUAUAGUUUGUAUUUUUCGGGUGUUGAAUAUUAUCUGAAAAUUUUAUUUUUCUAAAACUUAUAAUUGAUAAUUUAAUAUUUUACUUUCUUUUGUAUUUUUUUUGACAACAAAUAUGCACAGACUCAUGUUAACUUUGUAAACCAGAUCGGUAACUCUGCAUCUAUAUGAACGACGAAAUACGGUUAUUUCCUAGUACUGCAUGCUAAGUUGUCCGUCCUUCAGAUAUUUUUUCUUUUGUAAUAUUAAUAAAAACAACAACAGUACGUGAAACUUGGAAGUGCAUAUUGUAAUUAAGAGAAGAAACGUGGACCAAUCACAUCGCAUGGAGAUAAUUACCUGUUGGUAUUAACAUGGAGAUCAUCACAAAAGUGAUGAACAAUUGUACACCAUUGGCCAUUCUUUGUCUUUUAUUCUUUAUUAUCUCUUUGGUUCUUUUAAUUGAU
rnacentral:lncRNA from 1 species